rnacentral:rRNA from 1 species
AGAGUUUGAUCCUGGCUCAGAACGAACGCUGGCGGCAUGCCUAACACAUGCAAGUCGAACGAGGUUUCCGCUUCGGCGGGGGCCUAGUGGCGCACGGGUGAGUAACGCGUGGGAACCUGCCCUGUGGUACGGAAUAACUCCGGGAAACUGGAGCUAAUACCGUAUGCGUCCUGCGGGACAAAGAUUCAUCGCCAUGGGAUGGGCCCGCGUAGGAUUAGCUUGUUGGCGGGGUAACGGCCCACCAAGGCUUCGAUCCUUAGCUGGUCUGAGAGGAUGAUCAGCCACACUGGGACUGAGACACGGCCCAGACUCCUACGGGAGGCAGCAGUGGGGAAUAUUGGACAAUGGGCGCAAGCCUGAUCCAGCAAUGCCGCGUGAGUGAUGAAGGCCUUCGGGUUGUAAAGCUCUUUCGCACGCGACGAUGAUGACGGUAGCGUGAGAAGAAGCCCCGGCUAACUUCGUGCUAGCCGCCGCGGUAAUC